ensembl:lncRNA
AUGGUCCGGGGGGCUGAGGGUCCCCGUGCCCGCGGCAGGCGCCCUGACACUGCGCCACCCGUGCCGCCCCAGGAGCCGCCCCACGGUGAAGGACUGCUUCGCCAACGCCUGGCUCCAGGAUGCCUACCUGAUGAAGCUGCGCCGCCAGACCCUCACCUUCACCACCAACCGCCUCAAGGAGUUCCUGGUGGAGCACCAGAGGCGCCGCGGCGAGGCCGUCACCAAGCACAAGGUCUUACUCCGCUCCUACCAGGGCGGCCAGCCGCCGGGGCCGCAGUAGCCRGGUGCCCUCGCCACGGCCGCGGAGGCGCCGAGGAGCCGAAGGAACAUUCCAGGGGCCCCGGGACGGGGCGGCCGAGGAGCCGGGAUGAGCCCWUGUACCUCACAGACUGCCGCCAAGGACGCUGGCGGCAGGCGCCCGUGCCGGGGCCUGCUGGGGAGGGAUGGGGACGGGGCAGCCUCAUUGGCGAGAGGAGGUGCUGCCCGAGCCGGUCCGGGCUGCGGGCGGCUGGAAGGAAGUGUUGCUGGGAGGGAUGGAGAACGUGGCUGAGGGAUGGGGAAGGAUGCGAUGGGGAUGGGGGGGGGCCGAGGGAAGCCCCAGGUGGGAGUGGGAAAGUCGCCGGCGCUUUGGCUAGCCCUCGCCAUGCGGUCGGCGGGGAGCCGGCCUCGCCACGUGGGUGCCGCUGCGGCGUCCAGCUCAGCCUUAUGCCUUCACCGCAGCCUGCAGCUGCCUCUGGCCACAGCACGGCGGGGAGAGGAGCAGCCCUGGGCCUCCCAGAGCUGCCACCACCGUGGCCUGGGGGUGCCUGCAGUCACCCUGGUUUGCAUGUGAGCACCCGACGACUGAGGCUGCUCCACCAGUUUCUGCAGAGAGGGGCCAGCUUGCAGCCGGAUGCCUGCCCGGAGCCCCGUGCCGCGGGCAGCAGCACAGCCCCAGUUCCCACGCAGAGACGCUCGCACACACGUGCACGUACACCCACCCCUGUCCCCGAAAACCCCAGCGUGUCCCCGUGCACGCCUACACCCCCCUGCGCAGCACCCCCUGCCCGCUCACACCCCUGGUGCGCACACUCGUGCACAGCCCCACACGUGCCUUGCCAAGCCAUGCACCUCCCCUUGUACACACAUACACACACACGCGCGCGUGCGUGCACGCACUGCGCACCCCAGGGCUCACCGCUUGCUUCGGGGCCGGGGCCGCGCAGGGCUCUGCAGCCCCCGUGGCCACCGCUGGCCCGAGCCACGGCACGGCUACGGCGGCAGGGCCCUGCGCUGCCCCGCGCCCCAGCCCCGGCUGCGUCCCCUCCUCACCAGCCCCCCUUUGCCUCCCCGGGUCUUGACGUGAUGCACCAGCGUGGCCUGGGCGCCCCGGACAGGGGACAAGGGCAGCGUUUGGGCACCUGCCUUCCAGAUGCUGCUGUAGCGAUAAGGCUUUAUUUAUUGACUUUGGUGAGAAGGUCUCCAGGCGGUCUCUGGCCCUGUCCCCGUCCUCCCCCCUCCUCUCUGCCGGGCUCCGGCGUUGCCCACGGCCGCGUGGCUUGGAGCAAGCAACGUGCCAGAGCAGCAAUAAAAGCCCUGAGCAGCCGGUGGCGUCUCGGAGCCGUCCUUGGGAGGGGACGGGGCCGUCGCCCCGCCGGGAGCGCGGCGCGGGCAGGGCGCAGCCAGGACCCCCUGGGCCAGGAGGGGCUCUGGGGGCGGUCCCGGGGCUGA